UACUGGUUGGGACCGGAACCUGCUGGGAGCUCUGGACCCCUGAAUGUUUCUGGGCUGACGCGAGUCGAGCCGGCGGAAGUGAGGCUGCCGCAUCUGCGGGCCGGGCCCGGGAGAGGCUCCGAGAAACCCGGCCUGCAGGGUCGCCGCAGCCCACCGCUGCCGCCGCAAACCCUGCUUCUGCCUGUGCAUCGCGGGCAGCUGUUUCCGGGAUCAGCCUGGGCGCGGGGUGCCCGCAGUCCGGCGCCUGCUAACUGCGGCUCGGCGGCUGAGCACUAAGCGCCCUCAGUGGCUCCCGACACCGUACCUCUGCAGAUUUUUCUCCCUAACGAUUGGAAGAAGAGCCACUGGCUGAAUGGCUACAGUAGAUGACUUGCAGUUUGAAGAAUUUGGUGAUGCCACCACUUCCCUGGUAGCAACCCCAGAUGCCACCACAAUAAGAAUCGAGGAUCCUGAUGAAACACCAAAACAUCCGCCCGCACCCCCGAGAAGCUCAAGGAGAGAAGAAGAUGAUGAGUUACUGGGAAAUGAUGAUUCUGACAAAACUGAGUUACUUGCUGGACAGAAGAAGAGCUCCCCCUUCUGGACAUUUGAAUACUAUCAAACAUUCUUUGAUGUAGAUACUUACCAGGUCUUUGACAGAAUAAAAGGGUCUCUUUUGCCAAUACCAGGAAAAAACUUUGUGAGGUUAUAUAUCCGCAGCAAUCCAGAUCUCUAUGGUCCCUUUUGGAUAUGUGCCACAUUGGUCUUUGCUAUAGCAAUUAGUGGUAACCUUUCCAAUUUCUUAAUCCAUUUGGGAGAGAAGACAUACCAUUAUGUGCCCGAAUUCCGAAAAGUGUCCAUAGCAGCCACUAUCAUCUAUUCCUACGCCUGGCUCGUCCCUCUUGCGCUCUGGGGCUUCCUCAUGUGGAGAAACAGCAAAGUCAUGAACAUCGUUUCCUACUCGUUUUUGGAGAUUGUGUGCGUCUAUGGAUACUCACUGUUCAUUUACAUCCCCACAGCAAUACUGUGGAUCAUCCCCCAGAAAGCCGUGCGCUGGAUUCUAGUCACGGUUGCUCUGGGCAUCUCAGGCUCUGUCUUGGCGAUGACAUUUUGGCCAGCAGUUCGUGAGGAUAACCGGCGUAUCGCCCUGGCCACGAUCGUGACGAUUGUGCUGCUUCACAUGCUGCUUUCUGUGGGAUGCUUGGCAUACUUUUUUGAUGCACCAGAGAUGGACCAUCUCCCAGCAGCUACAGUAGUGACUCCAAACCAAACAGUUGCAGCAGCCAAGUCCAGCUAAAGAGAAAAUGGUUCAAUUCAGAGAAUCAACACUUCUUUGAUGACAUAACCUGCUGGUUAAGAAUUUGAGGAUGAGGAGCCAGGCACUGGCACACCCGAUUGAGCACACACGUUACCAUGUGCAAGGACUUGGGUUUGAGCCCCCACUCCCCACCUGCAGGGGGGAGCUUCAUGAGCAGUGAAGCAGGUUCUUCCAUUACAAAUGCAUGAGGAGUGUUGAUCAAGGCUGGGAUCUCUCUGCACGCUGGUCCAGGAAAGGCUCUUCCUCCAAGCUCACCCAACUGUUGGCAGGAUUCUGUUCCUUGUGGCUUGUUCGGUGAAGGCCACCUUGCUGGUUGUCUCCUGGAGCCCACCCUCACUCAGCUCCUUGCCAUUCAGCCCUCUCCGUGAGAUGGCUCACUUCAUCAAAGCCAUACGCAUUUGAGAAUCUGUCUACGGCUCUUCAGUUAGGAAGGUGAAAGGCACAGUCCAUGUGAUAUGAUCAUGGAAGUGACAUCACCUCCACCAUUUUCUUCUGUUGAUUAGCAAUAAAUCACAAGUCCUGUUCACACUCAAGGAGAGGGAUACACAAGCGUCCUUGAGGUAUAAUUGACAAAUAAAGUCGUAAGAUACUUCA